rnacentral:rRNA from 1 species
AGCGAACGCUGGCGGCAGGCCUAACACAUUCAAGUCGAACGAAGUCUUCGGACUUAGUGGCGGACGGGUGAGUAACACGUGGGAACGUACCUUUUGGUUCGGAACAACUCAGGGAAAUUUGAGCUAAUACCGGAUGAGCCCUUAGGGGGAAAGGUUUAUCGCCGAAAGAGCGGCCCGCGUUAGAUUAGCUAGUUGGUGAGGUAAAGGCUCACCAAGGCUACGAUCUAUAGCUGGUCUGAGAGGAUGAUCAGCCACACUGGGACUGAGACACGGCCCAGACUCCUACGGGAGGCAGCAGUGGGGAAUCUUGCGCAAUGGGCGAAAGCCUGACGCAGCCAUGCCGCGUGAAUGAUGAAGGUCUUAGGAUUGUAAAAUUCUUUUACCAGGGACGAUAAUGACGGUACCUGGAGAAAAAGCCCCGGCUAACUUCGUGCCAGCCGCCGCAGUAAGAC